AUUGAACGCUGGCGGCAUGCCUUACACAUGCAAGUCGAACGGCAGCACGGGUGCUUGCACCUGGUGGCGAGUGGCGAACGGGUGAGUAAUACAUCGGAACAUGUCCUGUAGUGGGGGAUAGCCCGGCGAAAGCCGGAUUAAUACCGCAUACGAUCCACGGAUGAAAGCGGGGGACCUUCGGGCCUCGCGCUAUAGGGUUGACCGAUGGCUGAUUAGCUAGUUGGUGGGGUAAAGGCCUACCAAGGCGACGAUCAGUAGCUGGUCUGAGAGGACGACCAGCCACACUGGGACUGAGACACGGCCCAGACUCCUACGGGAGGCAGCAGUGGGGAAUUUUGGACAAUGGGCGAAAGCCUGAUCCAGCAAUGCCGCGUGUGUGAAGAAGGCCUUCGGGUUGUAAAGCACUUUUGUCCGGAAAGAAAUCCUUGACUCUAAUACAGUCGGGGGAUGACGGUACCGGAAGAAUAAGCACCGGCUAACUACGU
rnacentral:rRNA from 1 species